rnacentral:lncRNA from 1 species
AGUACCGCCUCGACGCCGCCGACGCCGACCAUCACCAUCCAUGCUGCUACCCCUCGCCGCCUCCUCUUCCUACUGCGGUACGUACAUACAUGCAAACUGCUAUAUAUUGUUUGUAUGAUGUAUCUACUGUACAUAUACGUAUACGUAGGUACGUACCUACUUGCAUGCGCGCGACUGUGUCCAAUAUUAUAUUGGACGACGGCGGCCGCGACGAGGAUCCGACGAAAAGAAGCGGGCUUCUUCUCGAUCGUACGCGUCGUAGUAGCUAGUAGCUAGCUAGCUAGUUGAUUGAGAGACGGCGG